UACGUAGGGACCGAGCGUUGUCCGGAAUCAUUGGGCGUAAAGAGCGUGUAGGCGGCUCGCUAAGUCUUGCGUGAAAUCUCGGGGCUCAACCCCGAGCGGUCGUGAGAAACUGGCGGGCUAGAGUGCGGGAGAGGAGAGUGGAAUUCCUGGUGUAGCGGUGAAAUGCGCAGAUAUCAGGAGGAACACCGGUGGCGAAGGCGGGACUCUGGGCCGAUACUGACGCUGAGGAGCGAAAGCGUGGGGAGCAAACAGG
rnacentral:rRNA from 1 species